AUUCCAGCUCCAGUAGCGUAUAUUAAAGUUGUUGCAGUUAAAAAGCUCGUAGUUGGAUUUCUGAUAGUGGCGUUGGGCCCGCCCGGGUUACCGGUGUGAGUGCCUGUUCGCCCCUUUCAUCCUUCUAGAGAACGGUCCUCUCCUUCAUUGGUAGUGGGAUCGCAAUCUAGAUCUUUUACUUUGAAAAAAUUAGAGUGUUUAAAGCAGGCUUGUGCUAUGAAUACAUUAGCAUGGAAUAAUAAUUUAGGACUUUAGUUCUAUUUUGUUGGUUUCUAGAACUGAAGUAAUGAUUGAUAGGGAUAGUUGGGGGUGCUAGUAUUCAGCGGCCAGAGGUGAAAUUCUUGGAUUCGCUGAAGACUAACUUAUGCGAAAGCAUUCACCAAGGAUGUCUUCAUUA
rnacentral:rRNA from 1 species